CACAAAACCACGCCCCCAUUUGGAUCUCUUUAUAUCAGUAAACAUAAAAUACAGGUUUUAUAUAUUUGGGAAUACUUGAUCGUCCACUUUAGACCGGUAGAAUAACUUGAUUAUCCGUUAAAUUAAUAUUGAGAAGGAUGAAACGUAUUUUACUUUGUGUUUUUCUUGUUGUUACCUUGCUGCUAGUGUGCGGUAAGUUAUUAGAUUUAUGCUUAUAAUAUGCUUAUAAAUGUUAGUUUGACUUGUUUUGUUGUGGGAUUUAUAUUACUAUAAUUCUGGAAUUCAAAUCUUUUAAAUUUUUUACCCACAUUGCUAGAAAUUUAUAAAAACACAAGGACAGUUUAUUUGUCCUUUCUUUCUUUUCUUGAUCAUAAACAUGAUAGAAUAUCACAUUGCACAAAUCAUACAGAUGAAUAAUAAAUAACACUAGAACACACCCGCGAAAUCGCGGGGAUUCAGAGCGUAGUUUAAAGUAUGUAAAGUGUUGUUGGAAGAAUUUUGUAAAAUACAGAAUGACUUGAGAAUUUCAGCAAAAGUAUCAUAAGUCAUAGGUUAUUGGGGACAGGAAAAUGUUUUUUUACCCUCCACCUUUAUUUCCAAAGUUCCCAAUUUUUGGUUUUCUAUCAAUUUCAAUAUGAACAUACAUUUAGUAUGUUAUGAACAUUUAUUUAAGUAAGGAGCCUGUAAUUCAUUGGUUGUCGUUUGUUUAUGUGUUACAUAUUUGUUUUUCGUUCAUUUUUUGUACAUAAAUAAGGCCGCUAGUUUUCUCGUUUGCAUUGUUUUACAUUGUCAUUUCGGGCCUUUUGAAGCUGAGUAUGCGGUAUGGGCUUUACUCUUUGUUGAAGGCCGUACGGUGACCUAUAUAUAUAUAUAGUUGUUAAUAUCUGUGUCAUUUUGGUCUCUUGUGGAGAGUUGUCUUUAACAUGGCAAUCAUACCACAUCUUCUUUUUUUAUGUAAUCAAUGAAUUUUGUAAAACAUUUAAUGACUGGAGAAUUUCAGAAAAAGUAUCAAAAGUUCACAUGAAUAAUUUUAGCGCUUAUCUGUAUAUUAUGAACAUUCAUUACUAUAUAAAUAAAGCGUAUUUACUUUCAAUUCUAAGUUUACUAAUCGAUCCAUGGUGAUCAUUGAUAUAGUAUACAGACCCUCUCUAUUUAAUAACUCUGUGACCGCCGUGGAUAGUAAACUUGAAAAUGAUAGCAGAUAAAAUUCUGAAAAUACACUUUAUUCGUAGUAUAUGUAUGUUCAAAGUAUACAGAAAAACGCAAACCGGAAGACUAAUCUGACUUAAAAUUUCGUACAAUGACGGGACAAUAUCCGGAUGCCUUUUUUUCUCGUUUUUUCUCCAAAAUAAGUCAAUCUGAAUAAUCAUAUGAAUGGAUGACAAAUGCGACUAUGCACUGCACCUAUAGUACACAGAGGCGUGUUGAUUAAUUUAUUCUGGAAAGAAGAGAAGCGACACCAAAAAUGAGGUCUUCUCGUUUAAUAGUAUAGAUAAUUUAAAUAAUAGGGCAAAAAGGCGUCUUUGUUGUAGCAAUCACACAAACUUUUAGUGUAGCAAUCAAUGUUUAUCGUAUGUCUUAAUCAUAACAUAACAACUACAAAUAAAAUUGUUUAAUAGGACCGAAAAAAGGAAAAAUAUCUUUACCAAAUUCCUUUCGAAAAUGAUGAAAUAAUUGAUGAAUGGCGUCACUUAUACAUUUUUACGGAUUUCAGAAUUAAUGUUUGAACAAAUGCGUUAUAAUAAUACAAACUACAAAAUGUCGUUUAUUUAUCAAUAUUAAUAUUACAAUAAUUGCUGUGUAUGUUUUAUUAUUUUUUUGCUUAUUGUUGACCCUUCUGGGGCACCUGAAUUGACAACAGGUUUUAUUUUCAAGGCGUUUUGUUUUGGUAUUGCACAAUUUUGUCAGUUCCCGGGCAGUUACAUUGUGGAUUGUGUGUUGUUAACAAUGUUGCUGUAAAUAAACUCAUCAUAGAUACCAGGAAUAAAUUUUGUAUUUACGCCAGACGCGCGUUUUGUCUACCAAAGAUUCAGCAGUGACGCUCGAAUCCAAGAAAGUUAAAAAGGCCAAAUAAAGUACGAAGUUAGAGAGCAUUGAGGACCAAUGUCUUUCUACUUUUUGAACAUUUGUUUUUUUGAACUAUGGUUUUCCUCGGUUUAAGUUUGUAACUCGGAAGUGUUUUCUCUCAAUCGAUUUAUGUCUUUUGAACACCGGUAUACUACUGAUGCCUUCAUUUGCGUUGCCUUUUCCACACCGGGUGUCUUAAUCCGAAUUCUACGGAGUGAUCAGAAUUCUGAGAAUCCAUUACACUUUGUUAAGUGACAUUUGUUAGUAAAAUCUGGAUCCCCUUCCAACGGAAGAUUAUGCUAUGUGGGAAGCAGAUACCGAUUUUACUUACCAAUCGUGUUGCGGUCUCGUGUAAUUGUUUCUCGGGCUUCGGAUUCCUCAUCAGAUUUCGGUUUCAAGAUACCUGAUUUUUUUUCUAUCUUCUUAUUUCUUUUACUCCUGUUUUAUGUUUAGACAUGUAUCAUAUUUAUAACAAAAAUGUCCUACUUGCACAAAGUUAUCUGAUUUAUUAUCAUAUAUGUAAGAAGAAGUGCCAGUUAUCAAAAAGGCUUUUUCAAGAUUCUUAUCAGAAUAUUUGUAAGAAAAUAAAAGAUUCUUUAUCAUAGGUAGAUUAUUUGAAAACAAUUGUUUACAUCAGUGAACUUGCAACUCGAACAAUAAUAUCUAUGCCACACAGAAGUCACAAAGAUUGAAAUUUGAACAAUAGUUAUCAAAGGUAGCAGGAAUAUAAUUUAGUACGCCAGACGCGCUUUUCAUCUACAUAAGACUCAUCAGUGACACUCACAUCAAAAUAUUUAUAAAGCCAAACAAGUACAAAGUUGAAGAGCAAUGAGGAUCCAAAAUUCCAAAAAGUUGUGCCAAAUACGGCUAAGGUAAUCUAUGCCUGAACAUACACGUAAAUGAUGUUAUAAACCACGGAGACAAAUUAAUAUGACUUAAUACACACAAUCAAAUCGUACAAACAAACAUUUGAAUAAAUCGUACAAAUAACAAAAUGGACAUGUGUAUCAUACAACCAAAAUAAAUCAAUUACUAUAUCAAGUCAUUUGCAACAUAAAAAAAUCUGUAAACAUGACUUUUAAAUGUUUUAAACACCUUUUUUCGUUUCCGGAAAAGAUAAUUUCCCAUUAAAAAAUCACGUGAAGUAUAACUGCUACUGCCACAAACACAUUACAAAUAUGUUUUUCUGGCCAUUAUCUUUCUGACUUAAUGUUACUAAUUUAACAGACCACCCAUAUUUUCAGCACCUUUUUGCCAUAAAUUUGGACCUUCUUUAAUGUAAACAUUUGUUCACCUUUUAUAAUUAAAUUAGUGUUAUUGGUUUUUGGGGUUGUUUCAGUCAGCUGAUGCCUGUUUACAUCUAGUGAAUGAAUAUAUCAGUCUUGAAAUGUUUUUGUAUUGAUAAUCAAACACAUUUUUAUUCAUUCAUUUUAGUUACCAAUGCACAAUUUCACAAAAACAUGUGAUAAUUACUUUUAUUUUAUCAAUUGAACUACACAUAUAAAUUAUAAUUUCAGAUGGUCAAGUGAUACCCGGUACAUGUCGGUGUUUCCCCAAUGAUUGUCCUGACCCGUUUGAAGAAGUAUACUACCCCGGAGACUGUGAGGGAUAUAACGACUAUUACAGAGGUAUCAUUUACAAGAGAUGUUGUUUAAUGAAGUUUUGGUUCGUUGAUUGACCAUAGAAAAUCCCAAAAUGAAUUGGUAAGUAUAAUUAGUUUCAAUGUAUUUGAUAAACAUUCGUCUUUUGCUUUUCAAACUAGAUUGUAUUAUAAAAUGUACGUUCAAUUUACUACACUAAUAUUUUAGAAGCUUUAGUUUUAAUACCGUUGUUGUCGUAUUAAUAAGCCAUGAUCAUAACAGGUCACAACGAGACCAAUUGAACAGUUGUUAGUUUUUGUCUUACGUGAAAUUAUCGAUUUUCAUUUUAUCGACUUCCUAAUAAUCAGAUAUUACUGGUAUAUCUUUUUUGUUAGAACCCACACAACCAAACAGGUAGUCCCUCUACGAUACACAUUUGAAAUCCGAACGAAACUCGUACAUAUGUUGAGCUUUUAAUAUGCGCAAAUACAGAAAACAAAUAUGCUUCCUGCAUGGUUGCUUUACUAAAUCGUUUUGUUUGUAGUAUUUUGUGGACUUCUCCUUCAGUCGUCUUUCGUUAUGCAAUGACGUUGUCAGUUUAUCUUCGACUUAUGUGUUUUGAGUGUCCUCUUGGUGUAUACUGCCUUUAAUUUGUUACAAAAGUUUAAUAACAAGUUUUUACUCUUAUCACACAUGCUUGUAAAUUAGAGUAGAUUUCGUACAUGUAUAACCUUAAUUAAAUAUCUUACUAUUUAUUUUGCAGAGUAUAGAUGCAACGGGUAGAAAUAGGAAAGCCUCACCAUGGGUGGAAUUAUUUGACACAAAGGGAUUUUAUAACUUUGUUAAAUGUAUUUUUGUACGUCUGUUUGUACUGUUGUUCAAUAAAUACGUUAUUACAACAG
rnacentral:lncRNA from 1 species